UUUAAGUGCAACUAUAUAAGUUUUCGCGCUCAACUUUGAUCGUCCGUCUUAUUUAAUUUUUUUAUAAUAGUAUUUUUUAUGAGAUGAUAAAACAUGAAUAAUACUUUACUCGUAACUUAUGUUUUUAAAUUUUUUUAAACUUUUUUUAAUAAGGCGGACGGUCAAAGUUAGACGUGGAAAACCAUAACUGCACUUAAA
rfam:Oryza meridionalis cultivar OR44 (W2112) chromosome 6, whole genome shotgun sequence.